UGGGGGAUAUUGCACAAUGGGCGAAAGCCUGAUGCAGCGACGCCGCGUGGGGGAUGAAGGCUUUCGGGUUGUAAACCUCUUUCGCUAUCGAACAAGGCCCGCUUAGGGUGGGUUGAGGGUAGGUGGAGAAGAAGCGCCGGCUAACUACGUGCCAGCAGCCGCGGUAAUACGUAGGGCGCGAGCGUUGUCCGGAAUUAUUGGGCGUAAAGGGCUUGUAGGCGGCUUGUUGCGCCUGCUGUGAAAACGCGGGGCUUAACUUCGCGCGUGCAGUGGGUACGGGCAGGCUUGAGUGUGGUAGGGGUGACUGGAAUUCCAGGUGUAGCGGUGGAAUGCGCAGAUAUCUGGAGAAACAUCGAUGGCGAAGGCAGGUCACUGGGCCAUUACUGACGCUGAGGAGCGAAAGCAUGGGUAGCGAACAGG
rnacentral:rRNA from 1 species